CCAGAGCUGGGCGGGUUAAGGAGGAGGAUGGCGCCGUCCUGCAGAUGUGCGGGGACGCGCGCCCGCCGCAACGUGAGGCUCAUAGGCCACACGCAACUCUGAGCAUUGGCCAGGACCUGUAGUAGCCAACAGGACACUUAAUAACUGAUGUAUAGGUGCGCACUGUGUGUCCAGAGCUUUACGUUAACCACCUCACUGUGUCAUCUCGCUGAGGUUGUGUGGUUUACUAUUACUGCUAUUAGCGCAUUUUUAAGCGGGAAACCUGAGGCAUGAGGAGGGUCAGUCCUCGACCUUGUCCCCCCAAAUUGCUUCGUCUCUGAAUCCAGACUCUGAAGUUCGGCUCUGCCUACCACCUUAAGUUAUCCGAUGUGGCCUUACCGUCAGCCUAGUCUUUGACUACAGGAAGACCUCUCUUCCUGAAGAAGACGCCUCUUUUCAUCCAUUCACUCUGGAAAUGAUUCAACGUCUGCCUGCUGCUGAUGCUUUACUCUCCACCAGGGGUUUUCGAAGUGUGCUUCCCCAUUCCCCCUGGGCCUAUAGCAUCAGCAUCAGGGAACUUGUCAGUAACGCACAUUCUUGGGCCCCAACCCAGAACUACUGAAUCAGAAACUUGGGGUGAGGGCCUGUCGUGGUGGCUCAUGCCUGUAAUCCCAACACUUUGGGAAGCAGAGGAGGGUGGAUCACCUGAGGUCAGGAGUUGAGGACCAGCCUGGCUAACAUGGUGAAACCCCGUCUCUACUAAAAAUAGAAAAAUUAGCCAGAUGUGGUGGCGUGUGCCCAUAAUCCUAGCUACUCGGGAGACUGAGGCAGGAGACUCGCUUGAACCCAAGAGGCGGAGGUUGCAGUGAGCCAAGAUUGCACCACUGCACUCUAGCCUGGGCGACAGAGUGAGACUCCGUCUCAAAAAAAAAAAAAGAACUCAGGGUGAGGCCCAGCCGGCUGUGGUUUUAUGAGCUUUUCAGGGGAUACUGAUGCGGGAUCAAAUUUGAGAAGCACUGGUCUAGGUCUUAGAUCCUCUUGCUUCAGUUUCGUCAUUGGAUCUCAGGAAUGUUCAGCUGCCCUCUCAAGGCAACUUCUUACUUCACUUGACCUUCCAAGACCUCUCGUUCUGUCAAACCCCAAUUUUGGAUCAACCCAGGCAUGCUUCCCUCAUGUGUUCCAAAGCUGGUCAGAGUAGUCUACACCACUAUCUGCUUCAACUUCUAGUAACGUCUAAGCCUUCAGCAGUUUUGCUUAUGAAACUGCUUCACUGAAGUUCUCCACCACCAAGUAGUCAGCUGGCAUCGGAAUUCGGCUUGUGUCAAAUGGAACUCAACAUCUUCCUCUUCAGGACAUCCCCUAUUUUCAUCCUCCCAGUGA
ensembl:lncRNA CENATAC-DT CENATAC divergent transcript